ACUCCUACGGGGGGCAGCAGUGAGGAAUAUUGGUCAAUGGGCGGAAGCCUGAACCAGCCAAGUCGCGUGAGGGAUUAAGGCCCUAUGGGUCGUAAACCUCUUUUGUCAGGGAGCAAGGCCUCUCACGUGUGGGAGGUUGGAGAGUACCUGAAGAAAAAGCAUCGGCUAACUCCGUGCCAGCAGCCGCGGUAAUACGGAGGAUGCGAGCGUUAUCCGGAUUUAUUGGGUUUAAAGGGUGCGUAGGCGGAAUAUCAAGUCAGCGGUAAAAAUUCGGGGCUCAACCCCGUCGUGCCGUUGAAACUGAU
rnacentral:rRNA from 1 species